rnacentral:rRNA from 1 species
GACGAACGCUGGCGGCGUGCCUAACACAUGCAAGUCGAGCGGAGAUAUAACGAAGUGUAAUCAGAGAUAUAUCUUAGCGGCGGACGGGUGAGUAACGCGUGGGCAACCUGCCUCUAACUGGGGGAUAACACAGGGAAACUUGUGCUAAUACCGCAUAACAUCAUGAAAUGACAUCAUUUUAUGAUCAAAGGAGCAAUCCGGUAAGAGAUGGGCCCGCGUCCAAUUAGCUGGUUGGUGGUGUAACGGACCACCAAGGCGACGAUUGGUAGCCGAACUGAGAGGUUGAUCGGCCACAUUGGGACUGAGAUACGGCCCAGACUCCUACGGGAGGCAGCAGUGGGGAAUAUUGCGCAAUGGGGGAAACCCUGACGCAGCAACGCCGCGUGAAGGAUGAAGGUUUUCGGAUCGUAAACUUCUUUGAUGAGGGACGAAAAAAAUGACGGUACCUCAAAAACAAGCCACGGCUAACUACGUGCCAGCAGCCGCGGUAAUACGUAGGUGGCGAGCGUUGUCCGGAAUUACUGGGUGUAAAGGGCGUGUAGGCGGGAAUGUAAGUCAGAUGUGAAAUACCGAGGCUUAACCACGGGGCUGCAUCUGAAACUAUGUUUCUUGAGUGUCGGAGAGGAAAGUGGAAUUCCCAGUGUAGCGGUGAAAUGCGUAGAUAUUGGGAGGAACACCAGUGGCGAAGGCGACUUUCUGGACGAUAACUGACGCUGAGGCGCGAAAGCGUGGGGAGCAAACAGGAUUAGAUACCCUGGUAGUCCACGCCGUAAACGAUGGAUACUAGGUGUAGGAGGUAUCGACCCCUUCUGUGCCGGAGUUAACACAAUAAGUAUCCCACCUGGGGAGUACGGCCGCAAGGUUGA